AUUGAACGCUGGCGGAAUGCUUUACACAUGCAAGUCGAACGGUAGAGGGGGCAACCCCUCGAGAGUGGCGAACGGGUGAGUAAUAUAUCGGAACGUGCCCAGUCGUGGGGGAUAACGUAGCGAAAGUUACGCUAAUACCGCAUACGAUCUAAGGAUGAAAGCGGGGGAUCGCAAGACCUCGCGCGAUUGGAGCGGCCGAUAUCAGAUUAGGUAGUUGGUGGGGUAAAGGCUCACCAAGCCAACGAUCUGUAGCUGGUCUGAGAGGACGACCAGCCACACUGGAACUGAGACACGGUCCAGACUCCUACGGGAGGCAGCAGUGGGAAAUUUGGACAAUGGACGCAAGUCUGAUCCAGCCAUUCCGCGUGCAGGAUGAAGGCCCUCGGGUUGUAAACUGCUUUUGUACGGAACGAAAAGGUCUCUCUUAAUACGGGGGACUCAUGACGGUACCGUAAGAAUAAGCACCGGCUAACUACGUGCCAGCCGCCGCAGUAAAAC
rnacentral:rRNA from 1 species